rnacentral:rRNA from 1 species
GUGAGGAAUAUUGGACAAUGGGCGCAAGCCUGAUCCAGCCAUGCCGCGUGUGUGAAGAAGGCCUUUUGGUUGUAAAGCACUUUAAGCGAGGAGGAGGCUCCUUUAGUUAAUACCUAAAGAGAGUGGACGUUACUCGCAGAAUAAGCACCGGCUAACUCUGUGCCAGCAGCCGCGGUAAUACAGAGGGUGCGAGCGUUAAUCGGAUUUACUGGGCGUAAAGCGUGCGUAGGCGGCUUUUUAAGUCGGAUGUGAAAUCCCUGAGCUUAACUUAGGAAUUGCAUUCGAUACUGGAAAGCUAGAGUAUGGGAGAGGAUGGUAGAAUUCCAGGUGUAGCGGUGAAAUGCGUAGAGAUCUGGAGGAAUACCGAUGGCGAAGGCAGCCAUCUGGCCUAAUACUGACGCUGAGGUACGAAAGCAUGGGGAGCAAACAGGAUUAGAAACCCGAGUAGUCC